ACAGCCAGGAUGUUGGCUUGGAAGCAGCCAUUCAUUUAAAGAGUGCGUAACAGCUCACUGGUCGAGGGUUUGGGCACGGAAAAUAAUCGGGCAUCAAACAUAUAACCGAAGCUUUAGGCCUAGUAUGUAAAUACUAGACGGUAGGGGAGCAUUCUAAACUGCAUCGAAGGUGUGUUGCGAGACAUGCUGGAGCGUUUAGAAAAGAAAAUGUAGGCAUAAGUAACGAUAAAUAAGAUGAAAAAUCUUAUCGCCGUAAGACUAAGGGUUCCUGAUCAACGCUAAUCGGAUCAGGGUUAGUCGGGUCC
rnacentral:rRNA from 1 species